GUGACGGGGAGCUCCCGACGGCCUGGGAACAGCCUGGCGCGCUGUCGGUUCUUCCCGCAGAGCUGGACUGGCCGUUAGGGAGGAUCCUGGCUCCCCGUAACCCCCACUCGAGGGCCACCCGCAGCCUCAGACACUGCAAGACGGGCCCUCGCGGCCCCAGCCUUUCUUCCCCAGGGUUAAACAUCCCCGAUUCCUUCCACAUCUGACAUGGUCGUCUGCAAGUAGUGGGCACAGACGUGCGCGGUCUGACUUCCCACCCGCUGUCAGGCCUUACUUCAGCUGCUUUUCCAAGUUGCUGGUAACUUUCCGGGGCUUCCUGCUAAGCUCUUUGCUGGGCUUCCAAAGGCUUUUCCAAGGAGGAGAAAGCUCCUGCAGAUGCAGAAAUGGGGGCAGGGGAAGCAGGGGGCCAAGCCACGUGCUCAUCCAGGUCACUCUCCAAUGGGGGUGUCUCGCUAGAUUACGCUGCCUCUA